rnacentral:rRNA from 10 species
GUUUAUGGCUAUACCACCCCUAAUGUGACUGAUCUUGUUUGAUCUAGGAAGCUGAGCAGGGUCAGGACUGGAUAGUACUUGGAUGAAAGAGGUGAUGGGGUAUUCUAAAGACAGCCAAGAGCUGGAAAGA